UCCGGAGGGGGCAAUCGUUGUUCGGAAUUACUGGGCGUAAAGGGCGUCUAGGCGGCUAUUCAAGUCAGGGGUGAAAGCCCGGGGCUCAACCCCGGAACUGCCUUUGAAACUGGAUAGCUAGGGUUUGGUAGAGGUAGGUGGAAUACCCAGUGUAGAGGUGAAAUUCGUAGAUAUUGGGUAGAACACCGAUGGCGAAGGCAGCUUACUGGGCCAAUACCGACGCUGAAGCGCGAAAGCGUGGGGAGCAAACAGG
rnacentral:rRNA from 1 species